CACACACACAUACACACACACACACACACACACAUACACCUCUCUUUCUCUCUUUCUCCCUCUCCCCAAUCACUUUCGUUCAUUCUCACAUUUCCCCUUUUUCUCGGUCUGUCGUUGGCUGGACAUGCAGAUGGGAGCGAUUAUCUCAUAAUAAUAAACCGUGGGAGGAACAAGACGAGCGGGAGGAGAGGGAGAAGAAAGAAAGAGGGUCUCUGCGGAGUAGCUCAUGGGCCAACACACGUGUCACUCUGGCCCGGCACGGAUCAACGCCAACGUUCAUUCCCAUCAUCCUGAUGUCUUGGACCUCCAUCGGAACGCCGGGAAUGCACGGAAUCAUGUCACACAUUUAAACAAGGUCUGAUUCCAUUCAGACACUCUGUGUGUUUAACAUCUGCCCGUGGGCCUGAACCUCUCAGCACCCACUGCAGUCUGUCUGUCAGCCAUUACGACACUACCACAGUCGCACAGAAAGCACCCCACCAACCACNNNNNNNNNNACACACACACAUACACACACACACACACACACACAUACACCUCUCUUUCUCUCUUUCUCCCUCUCCCCAAUCACUUUCGUUCAUUCUCACAUUUCCCCUUUUUCUCGGUCUGUCGUUGGCUGGACAUGCAGAUGGGAGCGAUUAUCUCAUAAUAAUAAACCGUGGGAGGAACAAGACGAGCGGGAGGAGAGGGAGAAGAAAGAAAGAGGGUCUCUGCGGAGUAGCUCAUGGGCCAACACACGUGUCACUCUGGCCCGGCACGGAUCAACGCCAACGUUCAUUCCCAUCAUCCUGAUGUCUUGGACCUCCAUCGGAACGCCGGGAAUGGUGUGUGGAACGCAGAGCCUUUUCCCAGGAUAUAGAGUUCUAUUCUCCC
rnacentral:lncRNA from 13 species